rnacentral:lncRNA from 1 species
AUAUCACUGCUUGAAUAAAAUCAUACUCGGGUUGAAUAUAUAAUGCAGCAACAUUCCUCCAAAAACACAUAAUUACUAGCAGUAAAAUUUGAAUAUCCUAUGUUAAUUAUAAAAUCAUAUUGGAUUGGAUUCUCACGGCAUUUAACUUGGUGUUAUACUUUUGCAUUUACCGAGAAGGACAGUAGGAAGAAUAAGAUAAAGCCCGUUUCAAAUUUAACGUCAUUUUUCUGUUAAACUUGA